AUGAACGCUGGCGGCGUGCCUAAUACAUGCAAGUCGAACGAAUCUCUUUUAGAGAUGAGUGGCGAACGGGUGAGUAAUACAUAGGUAACCUGCCCCUGUGCGGGGGAUAACAGGAGGAAACUCCUGCUAAUACCGCAUAGCCAUGAGCACCGCAUGGAGCUCAUGCCAAAUAUCCUUUAUGGGAUAGCGCAGGGAUGGACCUAUGGCGCAUUAGCUGGUUGGCGGGGCAACGGCCCACCAAGGCAACGAUGCGUAGCCGGCCUGAGAGGGCGGACGGCCACAUUGGGACUGAGACACGGCCCAGACUCCUACGGGAGGCAGCAGUAGGGAAUUUUCGGCAAUGGGGGAAACCCUGACCGAGCAACGCCGCGUGAGCGAAGAAGGCCUUCGGGUCGUAAAGCUCUGUUGUAAAGGAAGAACGGCGCAUACAGGAAAUGGUAUGCGAGUGACGGUACUUUACCAGAAAGCCACGGCUAACUACGUGCCAGCAGCCGCGGUAAUACGUAGGUGGCGAGCGUUAUCCGGAAUCAUUGGGCGUAAAGAGGGAGCAGGCGGCCGCAAGGGUCUGUGGUGAAAGACCGAAGCUAAACUUCGGUAAGCCAUGGAAACCGGGCGGCUAGAGUGCGGAAGAGGAUCGUGGAAUUCCAUGUGUAGCGGUGAAAUGCGUAGAUAUAUGGAGGAACACCAGUGGCGAAGGCGACGGUCUGGGCCGCAACUGACGCUCAUUCCCGAAAGCGUGGGGAGCAAAUAGGAUUAGAUACCCUAGUAGUCCACGCCGUAAACGAUGGUCACUAAGUGUCGGGGGUCAAACCCCGGUGCUGCAGUCAACGCAAUAAGUGACCCGCCUGAGUAGUACGUUCGCAAGAAUGAAACUCAAAGGAAUUGACGGAA
rnacentral:rRNA from 1 species